AGUAGGAUGUGGGUGGGGCCAGAUAAGAAUAAAAGCAGGCUGCCUGAGCUAGCCCUGGCAAGCCGGUGGGGUUCCCUUCCACAGUGGAGGAUUGGUUCUUUAGUUUUUUGCAAUAAAUCUUGCUACUGCUCACUCUUUGGGUUCAUAGUGCAUUUAUGAGCUGUAACACUCAUGGUGAAGGUCUGCAGCUUCAGUCCUGAAGCCAGCGAGACCAAGAACCCACGGAGAGAAAGGAACAAAUCCAGACGCGCCACCUUAAGAACUAUAACACUCACCGCGAACAUCUGCAGCUACGCUCUUGAGCCAGCGAGACCACGAACCCACCAGAAAGAAGAAACUCUGAACACGUUGGCACAUCAGAAGGAACAAACUCCGCACACGCCACUUUUAAGAACUGUUAACACUCGCCGUGAGGGUCUGCGGCUUCGUUCUUGAAGGCAGUGAGACCAAGAACCCACCAGUUCUGGACACACUGGGACCACCCUCGCUGACUGGAGGCCCAAAAGUCAGAUGUCCUGGCUUAAGCUGCUGAAGCCACCUUGCACCAUGAGUGACCUUGAGAAUGGAAGCCACUGUCUAGAUGUUGGAACAAAGACAACGGCGUGGGUCUCCCUGAUGACACCGCAGAGUCACUGUAUGUGUCCUGGAGUACCUGCUUUCUGCUUCUUUUUCACGAGAGAUAAGUACAUUUUUAUCUUCUUUAGGCCACCGCUAUUUUUUUUUCCUGUUAAGCACAGCUAUAUCCAAUCCUAACUGGUUCAACCUAGAAAAUGUGAUUAUUUCUUGUUUUAAGAUAACUAUAGCUACCAAUUAUUUUGCACUUAGUAGCUGCCAGACACUGUACUAAGUGUUUUAUGGGUGUCAUCUUAUCUAAUUUGCACAACAAGAAUACGUACAAGGUAGGUAUUAUUAUCUAUAAUUUACAAAUGAGAAAAUGGAGGCUUAGAAAGCUUACAUAAUAUCUACAGGGUCAUACUGAAAAAAGCAGGGUUCUAAACCAGGUUGGCAUGACCCCAAAACUUGUUCUAAUCUUAAUCACUGUUAUCAGUGUAAUGCAGUUGUUAUCCUCUGUGGGUAAAAGAUGCUAUUUCUGAUUCACUCAUGGCAAUAUGAAAUAUACAAGGAGCACAGUGUUGGCUAAUAUUUCUAGAGACUCUUACAGAAUUGUCAAGAUGUAGACAACUUUAUGUCCAAUCUGCUCCCCAAACAAGAUUGCUCCCUGAACAACAAAGACCCGGCUUGCCUUCUGUAUCACAGAUGAUAACUAUCCCCAAACCUUACCUAGACUGUCAAACAUUCAAUUUUAUAAGAGAUUUGCAAACAGAAAUAACCCUGACUGCAAAACUGAUGGUGGGGAUUAAAUAAGAGGAUAUAUGUAAAAUGCAUAAAAGAAAAUCAGGUACGCAGUAAAUGCUUAAUAAAUGGUACCUGACGGCACCAUUAUUUAAGGGAUCUACAGUGAGAUUGCGAAAAUUUUCAGGAGUCGGAAAUAUUAGGUUCAACCACAACCUCUGCAACUUGCUACUUAUGUGAACAUUGUUCAGUCAUUUAACUUUUUGGCUUCUAAUUUUCUGAGGAAUACAUUAUUUAUAUAACAGAAUUGUAAUUGGAGAUAAAGCCUUUCCAGUCCCUAUCCCAGUGCCUGACGCAUUUUAGAAUCCCAGCCAAUGAAAUUCUUGUCACUAUUAUUCUCACAGAAUUCUAAUGAACAUACUACCAACAGUGAUUUUCUCCUUGGCCCAUUAACCACAUGGAAGGGAGUAUUCACUGUGGAGUGCCUCUGUAGCUGAGGGCCCCUGGCAUGUGGUUUCAUCAGAAGCAGACAGCUGCGUGAGUCACUGUGGUGGGCAGUGUGCUGGGCCACCCUGCGGGUCCUGCCACAGUGCUGUGGAAUCCAAGUUUGUCUUCUCCAGUUUUAGUCUCUGCACAUGCGUUGGUCUCCUUUCUGCCCCUACAGUGUGGCCAAGGCCAUUCCAGCCUCAGGAGGGCAAGAGGAGGCCUGUUGGAUGCAUCCUGAAAACACAGGCCAUCACUGUGGGCGACAUCUACCAGGACAGAUGCCAUUCUGCAAAGUGGGUACUUCCCAUGAGGAUCCAUCCACGUUUUUCUCUUAUUCUUUCUCUUGGCAGAUUUUCACUCUUUUCACAACCUUGUUUCAUAGACAUCAAACAAUAAAACAGCACAGAAGGAAAACAAGGGUCUUCUUAUACAAAUACCAUUUAUUUAAUUCUGGCACUCAUGAUUUAUUUAUAUCAGAAAAUCAUCUUAAAUUUUUAGGAGCUCACAACAUUCAAAGCCUCACACAAAGUUCUAAACUAGUAGAGAUGUCUCUGCAUCUCCCACUGCUUUCUUCUGCAUGUCAAGUUUCACUUUAGGUUAGAAUAGUCAUAUAUACCCGUUGAUGCGUGCAGCAAACCACCAGGCACAUGUAUAGCUAUUUAACAAACCUGCACAUUCCGCACAUGUAUCCCAGAGCUUAGUAAAAUAAAAAUAAAAAAACACAACAUUGGAAAGAAAAAAAAAUAGCCAUAUAUAAACUUUUUUAUCUUAAAAUCCCCCAUUUUACUCCUAACUGUCAAGGAAAAACAGAUGGUUCUAAACUCCUCCUUCUAGGCUUCUAGUGGUAAAGCAAUUUGCAGGACAACCGUGGAAGAAAGGUGCCCGCCGUCUCUAAGCUGACAUGGCCCCGCUUCCUCCCUCAGUCUGUGGCCUCAGGAGGGGACUGCUUUGCCUGUGAGUGGGAGGGAGCUACCGUGUGAGUAGUUCCCAACAGACCAUCUGAAGUCAUUUUCCCAGGUGGCAGGAGAAACACAGAGCCAGACGUUACACUGCUUUUCAAAGAGCAAGUAUCAAGUUCUGCUUGGCUUUUGUGGAAAGUCAUUUCCGAAGACCUGCCUUACUUGACUGUUUCUCCCUCUCGGGCUCUUCUGUUACCAAUGUCCUAGAGUUGCCUCUGCUGCCCCAGCGAGGAUGGCGGCACAAACAGCGGUGGUGUCAGCGGUGACUGAGGCAGCGCCAAGACUCCAGGGCCCUUCGGGUUCAAGCUGUGCGCCCUCACGCAGUU